rnacentral:lncRNA from 1 species
NNNNNNNNNNNNNNNGGUUCAAAACACGAGCUGGCACAAAACUCAAGUGGGAAAGCUGGGAAUGGCACAGAACAGGGGAAAACUGGGGAUGGCACAAAACAAGGGGGGAAACUGGGAAUGGCCCAAAACACGGCUAGGAAACUGGGAAUGGCACAAAAUAUGUGCGGGAAUGAUGGGAAUGGCACAAAACACAGAUGGAAACCUGGGAACAACACAAAACACAGGUGGGAAAAUGCGAAUGGUUCAAAACACGCAUGAGAAACAUGGGAAUGGCACAAAACAUGAGUGGAAAAGCUCUGAAUGGCACAAAACUCAGGUGGAAAACUGGGAAUGGUACAAAACACGUGGAAAAUUGGGAAUGGCAUAAAACACGGGUGGGAAACAGGGAAUGGUUCAAAACACAUGCUGGGAUUGGCACAAAACUCAGGUGGGAAAGCUAGGAAUGGCACAAACCAUGAGUGGAAAGCUGGGAAUAGCACAAAACUCAGGUGGAAAAUUGGGAAUGGCACAGAACAGGGGGAAACUGGGAAUGGCUCAAAACACGGGCUGGGAUUGGCACAAAACUCAGGUAGAAAACUGGGAAUGGCACAGAACAAGGGGAAAACUGGACAUGGUUCAAAACUCAGGUGGAAAACUGGGAAUGGCUCAAAAUAGGGGUGGGAAACUGGGAAUGGCACAAAACUCAGGUGGGAAAGCUGGAAAUGGCACAAAACAAGGGAAAGUGGGGAAUGGUUCAAAACACAAGCUGGGAUUGGUACAAAACUCAGGUGGGAAAGCUGGGACUGGCACAAAACUCAGGUGGAAAACUGGGAAGGGCACAAAACACAUGUGGGAAAGAUGGGAAUGGUACAAAAUAUGGGUGGGAAAGCUAGGAAUCUCACAAAUCCCAAGUAGAAAACUGGGAAUGGCACAAAACUUGGCUGGAAAACUGGGAAUGAUACAAAGUAUGGAUGGGAAAAUGGAAAUAGCACAAAACACUGGGAAUUAUACAAAACCAGGGGGAGAAGUCGGAAAUGGCACAAAACUCAAGUGGAAAAUCGGGAAUGGCACAAAAAACACGUGGGAAAGAUUGGGUGGCUCAAAACACGUGUGGAAACCUGGGAAUGGCACAAACCAUGGGUGGGAAAGCUGGGAAUGGCACAAACAAGAGGUGAAAUUUGGGAAUAGCACAAAAUAGAGGGAGAAGCCGG